rnacentral:rRNA from 1 species
UACAGAGGGGGGCGAGCGUUUGUUCGGAAUUAUUGGGCGUAAAGCGCGUGUAGGCGGCUUGGCAAGUCAGAUGUGAAAGCCCUCGGCUUAACCGAGGAAGUGCGUCUGAAACUGCUGAGCUUGAGUCUCGGAGAGGAUGGCGGAAUUCCGCAAGUAGAGGUGAAAUUCGUAGAUAUGCGGAGGAACACCGGUGGCGAAGGCGACUACCUGGCCUGUUCUUGACGCUGAGGCGCGAAAGCUAGGGGAGCAAACGGG